GGGAUAGAAUGGGUUCUGGUGGAUCCAAGAGACUUCAAAUCUUUUUUCGGGUGGUAAGACCGUCCGAGGUAGGUUCGAUUCCUACUCUUUCCCGCCA
rnacentral:tRNA from 1 species